AUGUCAUUUGAAGAAGGGGUAGGAACCACGCAACGAUUCCUGCGUGGAAACCCAAGACCUUCCUUUGUCUGCAAACAAAGCGCCCAGUUCAGGGGGGUUUUUGGUUUUGUUGGCCUGUUUGGUGCCUUUGUUUUUUUUUCCGUCUUCCCUACCGGAAGUACCGGCGAUGCAUUAACUCGAGUUACACUGCUCGGGACAAGCCAGAGAGCUGCGGGAUCACCUUCAGCGGCAGCGGAGUUUUGGCGCACCGAGACCCCGGCGGGAAGGGGAAAUCGAACUCGAGCCGCCGCCUCGGCUCCCUCGCACCGCCCUGGACCCGGGACUGUGUUGGGAGGGGGUAGAAGGAUCAGACCAGCGGCGGAAGCGCGCCUGGGAAGGCUUCACAAUGGGCAGCGCGGCAGUCAAGCCUCAACAGCCCGAGAACCUCAAUUACCACCCUCGUUGUGCGCUGAUCGACGCGCUUCCGUACACUUCCCCUCCGCGCCACAGUCCAUCCAACCCGCGGCACCGACCACCGCCGAAACCGCGGCCCUGACCCACCGCUCACUUCCCGGCGCCAUUUACCGCGCCUCCUGGGUACCGCCCCCUCCCAACCCCCUCGUUUCAGCCCAGCUCCCCGCCGCGCCCCGCUGCCACCUCCACCUCGAAGGAGCUGCACGGUCUUCCCCCGUUCAACCUCAGGCCCACAGGAGUCCUUCACAGCCGCCCACCGCUCUCCUGGGGCCACCACCACCUUCGACUCCACCACUCAAAAUGGCGGCCGCGCUCAGGAACGAGGCUCCGCGGAGAGGCGCCGCACCGCCCCGCCCCCACGCCCUCCUUCAGGUCCGCCACCGCCCACGGCUCCCUCAGGCGGGCGCCGGCCCCGACGCCGCACCGAGAAGCAGGAAGGCCAGUGCGCUUCAGAACCCGAGUCCCUGCUGCUAUUGCCACCCGGCCUGUCCAACUAGGGCACAUUAUGCCCAUUCCCCCUCCCCACUUACCGGAGACCUUCGCGCACUCCUCGACGUGCUCCGGCAGGAGCUUCUGCCGAGAAAGAACCACCUCACUGCUAACAAGCCAGCAAGCUCAAAACCUACGCAAGGGGCGCGGGCUGAAAAGCGUCCCGAUUACACAAAUAUCGCGAUAGCCACGCCGCGCUUCUUAGCCCCGGCUAGGCGCGCUACGCACAUGCGCGCCUCCGCGCAGAAGCAAUGGCGCAUGCGCACGGAGGCUAGUAAGUUCCCGCCUAUUCCUGUCACGGCUGCUGCUGAAGGGCGCUGA
rnacentral:lncRNA from 14 species